ensembl:lncRNA
CUGUGAUGCUCUGAGGGCUGGAGCACCUCUCCUAAGAAGACAGGCUGAAGGAGCUGGAUAUAUGUGGUUGAAAGGCAUCAUAAUUCUGGAAGAGGCCUCAAGCUGAUACAACUGAAAGCUGGCACAGAAGAAUCUAUAUCCCUGUCUUCUCCUAAAAUAUGCUCAACAGGAGUUGAACCACUUUGGGCAUGAAACCAGCAGAGGUGACUUCAGGCUUAAGAUUGUGGCACUGCAGUUUAUUGGGAAGGUUCUCUGCCUAUUUUUCCCCUGGAUUCUUCGGUUUCCUUCAUCAUGCUGAUUGAAAAGUAGAUGAGCCUAAAGCAAG